rnacentral:rRNA from 1 species
CUUUGACCUCGGAUCACGUAGGAAUACCCGCUGAACUUAAGCAUAUCAAUAAGCGGAG